rnacentral:misc_RNA from 1 species
UUUCCGUAGGUGAACCUGCGGAAGGAUCAUUAAUUACGAAAGCUUCGGUCCCCUCGGGGGCUGUCGCAUCCACCCUCUGUCUACGUGUACCUUUGUUGUUUCCUCGGUGGGCUUGCCCGCCGCUAGGAACCCCUCAAACCCUUGUAUUUACAGUAUUCAAUCUCUGAUAACCUUUUAAAUUAUUACAACUUUUAACAAUGGAUCUCUUGGUUCUGGCAUCGAUGAAGACGCAGC